CGGGGUAUAACGCAGAUUGGCAGCGUGACAUCAUGGGGUGGUGUAAGUCACGGGUUCGAUUCCCGUUGCUCCGA
rnacentral:tRNA from 1 species